UACGGAGGGGGCGAGCGUUAUUCGGAAUUAUUGGGCGUAAAGGGCGCGUAGGCGGCUGUACAAGUCAAAGGUGAAAUCCCUCGGCUCAACUGAGGAACUGCCUUUGAAACUGUACGGCUUGAGGCCGGGAGGGGGUAGCGGAAUUCCCAAUGUAGCGGUGAAAUGCGUAGAUAUUGGGAGGAACACCAGUGGCGAAGGCGGCUACCUGGAACCGGUUCUGGACGCUGAGGCGCGAAAGCUGUGGGUAGCAAACAGG
rnacentral:rRNA from 1 species